GCCUCUGUAGCUCAGUUGGUUAGAGCGCUGCACCGGAAUUGCAGGGCAGCAGCUUCGAUUCCCGCCAGAGAGCC
rnacentral:tRNA from 1 species